rnacentral:rRNA from 1 species
GACAGAGGGUGCAAACGUUGUUCGGAAUUACUGGGCGUAAAGGGCGCGUAGGCGGCGCGAGCAGUCGAUCGUGAAAGUCCGGAGCUCAACUCCGGAUCGGCGGUCGAUACUCUCGUGCUUGAGCACUGUAGAGGCAGAUGGAAUUCCGGGUGUAGCGGUGGAAUGCGUAGAGAUCCGGAAGAACACCGGUGGCGAAGGCGGUCUGCUGGGCAGUUGCUGACGCUGAUGCGCGACAGCGUGGGGAGCAAACAGG